GGUUAGCAUGAAGAUAAAGUGAACUUCAUAGUAGUAAGUUUAUUUCAUGAUUAAUACAAUGUCGACACGCAGGCGGAGAGAUCAUCCUCUCGCCUGUGUGUCAGCACUGUAUUGAACAUGAAAUUAUGAUGAAUUUCAUUUCAUGCUGACC
rnacentral:pre_miRNA from 1 species